rnacentral:rRNA from 1 species
GACGAACGCUGGCGGCGUGCCUAAUACAUGCAAGUAGAACGCACAGUUUAUACCGUAGCUUGCUACACCAUAAACUGUGAGUUGCGAACGGGUGAGUAACGCGUAGGUAACCUGCCUGGUAGCGGGGGAUAACUAUUGGAAACGAUAGCUAAUACCGCAUAAUAUUAAUUAUUGCAUGAUAAUUGAUUGAAAGAUGCAAUUGCAUCACUACCAGAUGGACCUGCGUUGUAUUAGCUAGUAGGUGAGGUAACGGCUCACCUAGGCGACGAUACAUAGCCGACCUGGGAGGGUGAUCGGCCACACUGGGACUGAGACACGGCCCAGACUCCUACGGGAGGCAGCAGUAGGGAAUCUUCGGCAAUGGACGAAAGUCUGACCGAGCAACGCCGCGUGAGUGAAGAAGGUUUUCGGAUCGUAAAGCUCUGUUGUAAGAGAAGAACGGGUGUGGGAGUGGAAAGUUCACACUGUGACGGUAUCUUACCAGAAAGGGACGGCUAACUACGUG